GGUCCUGUUACUCAGUUGUUUAGAGCAUUCGUCUUAUGAGCCAAAAGUUGUAGGUUCGAGUCCUACAAGGACCA